UUAUCUCUGUAGAGUCUGCAUAUCAAUAAGCGGAGGAAAAGAAACUAACAAGGAUUCCCUUAGUAACGGCGAGUGAAGCGGGAAGAGCUCAAAUUUGAAAUCUUCAAGGUUUUACCUUGACGAAUUGUAGUUUAAAGAAGUGUUUUCUGUUGGAGUUUUGGUAAAAGUUCUUUGGAAUAGGACAUCAUAGAGGGUGAGAAUCCCGUAUUUGACCAUUAUUUCCAGCUUUGUGAUACACUUUCAAAGAGUCGGAUUGUUUGGGAAUGCAGUCCAAAAUGGGUGGUAAAUUUCAUCUAAGGCUAAAUAUUGGCGAGAGACCGAUAGCGAACAAGUACCGUGAGGGAAAGAUGAAAAGAACUUUGAAAAGAGAGUUAAACAGUACGUGAAAUUGUCAAAAGGGAAGCGUUUGACACCAGUGUUGUUUUUCCAAAAAUCAAUUACGAAUGGCUUGAUUCUGUGUUGUAUUGACCUUAUCAGCUUUCUGCACUUUUUUCGAGUCUUUCUUAAUGCACUUUUCGGUUAACAAGUCAACAUCAAUUUCUUUUGUUGUAAAAGAGUAUUCGGAAGGUGGCUUUCUUUUCGGAGAAAGUGUUUAUAGCCUUUGGCCUCUACAAUCGGAGAGAUUGAGGUCUGCAGCGUAGAUCCUUCGGGGUUAGAUACAUUUGUGCUAAGUUGUAGCUUUUCAUAGACAACUUGUUGACUAUGUUUAGUCAUGCGGCUUACUCGCUUAUGCUAUUUUACCUACGCUUAGGAUGUUGAAGAUGUAGCACAUCAU
rnacentral:rRNA from 1 species